rnacentral:rRNA from 1 species
UACGAAGGGUGCAAGCGUUACUCGGAAUACUGGGCGUAAAGCGUGCGUAGGUGGUUUGUUAAGUCUGUUGUGAAAGCCCCGGGCUCAACCUGGGAAUGGCAAUGGAUACUGGCAAGCUAGAGUGCGGUAGAGGGUAGUGGAAUUCCGGUGUAGCGGUGAAAUGCGUAGAGAUCGGGAGGAACACCAGUGGCGAAGGCGGCUACCUGGACGACAACUGACGCUGAGGCGCGAAAGCGUGGGGAUCAAAACAGG